rnacentral:lncRNA from 1 species
GCCUGCGCGGUAGUGGGACCCGACCCUGUCUCUAGUGGGCGUCUUGGGCCCGGGCUCUAUUCUGGGCUGUGGGCCUGGGAAGGGCUCGCCGGGUGCCAAAUGAGCUGUCCUAACUCUGCGGGGCUGCAGCUUCCUGCAUGAUGUUGUGGAGCUUGGCGCCUGACCCAGGAUAUAGAAGGCACUCUGGGCAGGCCGCGCUCCGCCCACGAAGGUACCCAACCCUCUGGGAUAGAUGCAGGAACCGAUGGUUAGGACCCAUUUUCACCCAACUUCUCGCCGCAGCUCUGGCUUACCACACGCUCCUCCCCAUUCCCAAUGAGCCGCUUUUUGCAGCACCAGGCAAACACUUACACCAGUGCUUUGUAAAGGAAUCUUAUUGUCCACCCCGUGUCUUGGCAAAAGAACAGUGAUCACACAGAUUCCGACUUGGGCUCUUUCCUUUAAUCUUCGGAGGCUGAGUUUGCCCAGCUCAGGUUUAACCACCAAGGACUCUGAGAGCUGGCAGGUCUGAGUAACCCUGGUAACAAUUCUCUUCACCUUAUCAAAACCUGAGCUAAAACCAAUGCAUCAGCUGAUGAUGACAGCAGAGAGUGGCAGGGCUGAGGACCCAAUAUUCAUUUCCCAGGCUGGCGGAGAAUAAACUGCCAGGGAGAAGAAUGAGAAGACAGGAGACAAACUGUUUGGAAAGCUAAAUCUUCCCUCUUAAUGAGUAAAGGUUUUUGCCUUGUCUUAAAGUUUCUGAGUCCUAAUUUUGGCAAAAUAAAUAACUUAUGGUAAUGUGG